AUUCAGCCUACGAAUCCCAAAUAGGACGAAACGCGCGUCCAGGAU
rnacentral:hammerhead_ribozyme from 1 species